rnacentral:rRNA from 1 species
AGACCCGAAACCCGGUGAUCUAGCCAUGGGCAGGUUGAAGGUUGGGUAACACUAACUGGAGGACCGAACCGACUAAUGUUGAAAAAUUAGCGGAUGACCUGUGGCUGGGGGUGAAAGGCCAAUCAAACCGGGAGAUAGCUGGUUCUCCCCGAAAGCUAUUUAGGUAGCGCCUCGUGAAUUCAUCUCCGGGGGUAGAGCACUGUUUCGGCCAGGGGGCCAUCCCGGCUUACCAACCCGAUGCAAACUGCGAAUACCGGAGAAUGUUAUCACGGGAGACACACGGCGGGUGCUAACGUCCGUCGUGAAGAGGGAAACAACCCAGACCGCCAGCUAAGGUCCCAAAGUCAUGGUUAAGUGGGAAACGAUGUGGGAAGGCCCAGACAGCCAGGAUGUUGGCUUAGAAGCAGCCAUCAUUUAAAGAAAGCGUAAUAGCUCACUGGUCGAGUCGGCCUGCGCGGAAGAUGUAACGGGGCUAAACCAUGCACCGAAGCUGCGGCAGCGAACGUAUCACUUAAAGCGAUUCAGCGGAUGACGAUUGACGGAGCGAAGCGACGUCAAAGCGUUUUACAACGUCGAGUCGGUUUAAGGAUACGUUCGUUGGGUAGGGGAGCGUUCUGUAAGCCUGCGAAGGUGGCCUGUGAGGGUUGCUGGAGGUAUCAGAAGUGCGAAUGCUGACAUAAGUAACGAUAAUGCGGGUGAAAAACCCGCACGCCGGAAGACCAAGGGUUCCUGUCCAACGUUAAUCGGGGCAGGGUGAGUCGACCCCUAAGGCGAGGCCGAAAGGCGUAGUCGAUGGGAAACAGGUUAAUAUUCCUGUACCUGGUGUUACUGCGAAGGGGGGACGGAGAAGGCUAUGUUGGCCGGGCGACGGUUGUCCCGGUUUAAGCGUGUAGGCUGGUUUUCCAGGCAAAUCCGGAAAAUCAAGGCUGAGGCGUGAUGACGAGGCACUACGGUGCUGAAGCA